rnacentral:rRNA from 1 species
GACGGAGGGUGCUAGCGUUGUUCGGAAUUACUGGGCGUAAAGGGCGCGCAGGCGGCCCUUGAAGUCAGGCGUGAAAGCCCCGGGCUCAACCUGGGAGGUGCGCUUGAUACUCGAGGGCUUGAGUGCGGGAGAGGAGAGUGGAAUUCCCAGUGUAGAGGUGAAAUUCGUAGAUAUUGGGAAGAACACCGGUGGCGAAGGCGGCUCUCUGGGACCGUAACUGGACGCUGAGGCGCGAAAGCGUGGGGAGCAAACAGGG